rnacentral:rRNA from 2 species
ACCUGCGGAGGGAUCAU